AUAAAUGUUUUACUAAAAGUUUCUUUCUCUCACCUUAUAUUUCAUCUCCACCUCAUCACAUCACCUUCAGAUCGCUUUAGAAAGACAUAUGGAUGUCUGGUCUGAAGAAUGCAUGAGAUUUUUAUGGGCCAAACAGCCCACACUGGACUGAAUGAAGCUAAAAAAGCAGGCUCCAAAAGUGGAAGACCUAGUUCCAGUCAUGGGAGAGUCUCUUCUUCUGUGAGGUAGCAGACAAAGAGUGUGCAACUGAGAGAGUCUCUGUGAAGUGAAGCAGAAGAAGUUUUCAGUUUAUUUCAGUAACUUGAACAAGUGCUGAAGGAAGCAGUUCUCCUGCCGCUUCUCCUACAAACGUGCGAUUCUUACAGUGACCACGCCUAAAAGACGUUGAGCAGUCUAUGCUUCCUCCUCGUCAUCCUGUCUAAGUUUGUUACUGCCACACGCUGGCACAGAAAUGAUCUACGUACACACACUCAACUCGCACACACACACCCUUCAGCACAUCAGUGAACAUCCCACUCCUCACUCCUAUUUCCCAACUUUCCUUCUUCAAUUGUUUUUUUUUGUUUCCCCCUCCUCAGAGUAGCGCAUUUGGAUUUUGCGCGGCUGGGCAGCAAUAUCUAAAUGGGAGACGAGGUCAUGGAGUCUUUGUCGGGAUACUCCGCAGAGAUCACACAGAGAAAACAAAUGGCGAUGAAACAAAAAGCCAACAUCACCCUCCGCAGCAAGGGAGGUAAUUGCAUCAGAAAAUGGUAAUUUAAAAACAGGGUCGUGGGAAGGCCGUGAUAGGCUGGCUUCUGUGUGUGUGUGUGUGUAUGUACGUGUGGUUGUGUUGUAUAUUGUUACAAAAACACAAGCCUCCAAUGGUGAAGCAAUUCAGUCAGCAUUGUGUCUUGUAAAUCAUUUACAUAACAAUGCGGCAGAAUCUUGGAGAUCAUGGCUGAAGUAUUGUUUACACUGUAAUAAUGGAUGGAUUUAACUCUCAGUCAUAACCACAUUUGUCACAAACUGUCAUCUAACACAGCCUGAAACCUAAGAAUUCAUACUAAGCGGGUCGAUGAUGGCGGUAAUGAAAUGCUUUGUGGGUAAUAAUGAGCUCUGCUAGGUCCUCAGCCGCUCUGUUAUUAUUUCGAAGAUACCAUCAGAAAGUAUUA